rnacentral:ncRNA from 1 species
CAAAAAGCGAUGAGUGGGAAGAGUAGGUUACGUACGCAAGGAAAGCGAGUCGGGGAUUGGUGCGAGCCCGAUCUUUGCAGUAAUGGAAAAUCACCCAGGAGCAUUCUCUUGAACCAGCAGUAGAGAGGAUCGGCUAAUCCCGUUAACGAUUGUUGAGUGAAGGCUAUUGGGCUGCAAGCCGGAGAUUUCUGAACAGAAGUCUGGCGCACAGCUGCAAGUCUUAAUCAGGGUGGUAACGCGAGGCUUCUCGUCCCUAUG